AAUAAAUACAACCAUAAAUAUCCGUGUUUAGCGUUUUGAUCAUCCGUUUUAUUUGAAAAAUUUAUAAAAAAUAUUAAAAAAAUUAGUCACACAUAAAGUACUAUUCAUGUUUUUACAUCUAAUAACAAUAAAAAUACUAAUCAUAAUUUUUUUUCAAAUAAGACGAACGGUCAAACGUUGAANAAAAAUUAGUCACACAUAAA
rfam:Oryza meridionalis cultivar OR44 (W2112) chromosome 6, whole genome shotgun sequence.